rnacentral:rRNA from 1 species
CAAGCGGUGGAUGAUGUGGAUUAAUUCGAUGCAACGCGAAAAACCUUACCUACCCUUGACAUGUACGGAAGACCGAAGAGAUUUGGUUGUGCUCGAAAGAGAACCGUAACACAGGUGCUGCAUGGCUGUCGUCAGCUCGUGCCGUGAGAUGUUGGGUUAAGUCCCGCAACGAGCGCAACCCUUGUCAUUAGUUGCUACAUUCAGUUGAGCACUCUAAUGAGACUGCCGGUGGCAAACCGGAGGAAGGUGGGGAUGACGUCAAGUCCUCAUGGCCCUUAUGGGUAGGGCUUCACGCGUCAUACAAUGGUACAUACAGAGGGCCGCCAACCCGCGAGGGGGAGCUAAUCCCAGAAAGUGUAUCGUAGUCCGGAUCGCAGUCUGCAACUCGACUGCGUGAAGUUGGAAUCGCUAGUAAUCGCGGAUCAGCAUGUCGCGGUGAAUACGUUCCCCGGGGUCCUGUACACACC